GACGAACGCUGGCGGCGUGCUUAACACAUGCAAGUCGAACGGAAAGGCCCUGCUUGCAGGGUGCUCGAGUGGCGAACGGGUGAGUAACACGUGGGUGAUCUGCCCCUUACUUUGGGAUAAGCCUGGGAAACUGGGUCUAAUACUGGAUAGGACCAUGCUGUAGGUGGUGUGGUGGAAAGAUUAGUUUCGGUAAGGGAUGAGAUCGCGGCCUAUCAGCUUGUUGGUGGGGUAAUGGCCUACCAAGGCGUCGACGGGUAGCCGGCCUGAGAGGGUGGACGGCCACGUUGAGACUGCGACACGAGGCAGACGCCUACGGGAGGCAGCAGUGGGGGAUAGUGCGCAAUGGGAGCAAGGCUGAUGCAGCGACGCCGCGUGGGGGGUGACGGCCUUCGGGUUGUGAACACCUUUCAGCCAUGAAGAAGCCCUUGUGGUGACGGUAGUGGUAGAAGAAGCACCGGCUAACUACGUG
rnacentral:rRNA from 1 species